GGAUGUGAGAGGAUCUGGCUGUGACGUGUCUCACAUUGAUCUCCAGGGUUGAUCUGGCUGAUCUGGCUGGCUAAUCGGGUGUUCCCUUCCACACUGCUCUAUGUGUAUUCCUCUGGAAAGCAUGUAUCUUGGGAUGGAGACACAUGCUGAUUAGUGUUUAUGAUUUGUUAAAGCUCGUCUGAGGAUUCAGAACCAAAGUCAGCCACAAACCAUAGAAGCUAGGACUCAGGAUUAAGAGAUGGAUCUCUUUGA
ensembl:misc_RNA 7SK 7SK RNA